AAAUGAAUUGACGGGACCCCGCACAAGCGGUGGAGCAUGUGGAUUAAUUCGAUACUAACCGAAGAACCUUACCCAGUCUUGACAUCGAUGGAAAGGUGCAGAAAUGUGCCCCUCUUCUCACAAGGAAGACCUGAAGACAGAUGUUGCAUGGCUGUCGUCAGCUCGUGCCGUGAGGUGUUUGGUUAAGUCCAGCAACGAGCGCAACCCUCAUUUUGUGUUACCAGCGAGUAAUGUCGGGGACUCACAAGAAACUGCCCGUGUAAGCGGGAGGAAGGUGAGGAUGACGUCAAGUCAGCAUGGCUCUUACGACUGGGGCUUCACACAUGCUACAAUGGGCGCAACAAAGGGCAGCAAUACCGCGAGGUGGAGCGAAUCCCAAAAAUACGCCCCCAGUUCAGAUUGCAGUCUGCAACUCGACUGCAUGAAGGCGGAAUCGCUAGUAACCGCAGGUCAGCUAUACUGCGGUGAAUACGUUCCCGGGGUUUGUACACACCGCCCGU
rnacentral:rRNA from 1 species